GGAUUUAUUGGGUUUAAAGGGUGCGUAGGCGGCCUAUUAAGUCAGGGGUGAAAUACGGUGGCUCAACCAUCGCAGUGCCUUUGAUACUGAUGGGCUUGAAUCCAUUUGAAGUGGGCGGAAUAAGACAAGUAGCGGUGAAAUGCAUAGAUAUGUCUUAGAACUCCGAUUGCGAAGGCAGCUCACUAAGCUGGUAUUGACGCUGAUGCACGAAAGCGUGGGGAUCGAACAGGAUUA
rnacentral:rRNA from 1 species